rnacentral:tRNA from 1 species
UCGGGCGUCGUAUAGCGGCUAUUAUAUCAGAAUUUGGAUCUGAUGACAGGGGUUCGAUUCCCUUCGCCCGAUCAA